UACGGGAGUGGCAAGCGUUAUCCGGAAUUAUUGGGCGUAAAGCGUCCGCAGGCGGUCUGUCAAGUCUGCUGUUAAAGCGUGGAGCUUAACUCCAUUAAGGCAGUGGAAACUGACAGACUAGAGUGUGGUAGGGGCAGAGGGAAUUCCCGGUGUAGCGGUGAAAUGCGUAGAUAUCGGGAAGAACACCAGUGGCGAAGGCGCUCUGCUGGGCCAUAACUGACGCUCAUGGACGAAAGCCAGGGGAGCGAAAGGGAUUAGAUACCCCUGUAGUCCUGGCCGUAAACGAUGAACACUAGGUGUCGGGGGAAUCGACCCCCUCGGUGUCGUAGCCAACGCGUUAAGUGUUCCGCCUGGGGAGUACGCACGCAAGUGUGAAACUCAAAGGAAUUGACGGAGGCCCGCACAAGCGGUGGAGUAUGUGGUUUAAUUCGAUGCAACGCGAAGAACCUUACCAGGGUUUGACAUCCUGCGAAUCUCUUGGAAACGAGAGAGUGCCUUCGGGAACGCAGUGACAGGUGGUGCAUGGCUGUCGUCAGCUCGUGUCGUGAGAUGUUGGGUUAAGUCCCGCAACGAGCGCAACCCACGUCGUUAGUUGCCAGCAUUUAGUUGGGCACUCUAGCGAGACCGCCGGUGAUAAACCGGAGGAAGGUGUGGAUGACGUCAAGUCAUCAUGCCCCUUACAUCCUGGGCUACACACGUACUACAAUGCUACGGACAAAGGGCAGCAAACUCGCGAGAGCUAGCAAAUCCCAUAAACCGUGGCUCAGUUCAGAUCGUAGGCUGCAACUCGCCUACGUGAAGGAGGAAUCGCUAGUAAUCGCAGGUCAGCAUACUGCGGUGAAUACGUUCCCGGGCCU
rnacentral:rRNA from 1 species